UGGGAGCGAAUUUGCGAGCCCGGAUUGGCCAGGUGGCCAGGGGGAGCGGGACACGUGCGGGGCCAGGUGAGGAGCGCUGGCGCCCGUCCCGGGCCCCUGAUUGGUGCCUGUUGAAGGCUGUGUCCUAGGCCUUGUACUGCGCCAGUCCCUUACCUCUCUGCCACUGUGUGCCAUUCGCUACCCUCUUCGUGCCCCCCGCUUUUCUACCAGGCCACCGCCUCUCUUCCCUUUGCCUCACAUCCCACCCUUGCCACUUUGCCUAAAGGUUCGGAGGAAGGCGGGGCUGGGAGCAGAUGGGCGGGCUCUGCGGGUCACGUGGAGCCGCAGCCGCGUCAGCCAGCGUUAUAGGGGGCAGGAGGGAGGCGCGAGCAGCCAAUGGGCGGCGGGGGCGGGCCUGGCGUCGGGUGCACGAGGCGCUGCACGUGCGGCUGCGAAGGGUGGGGGCGGGGCGCGAGGGGAGGGGCGGGGUUUUCUGUUGCUGAGUGCGGGCCCCGGGUCUUGGGACCCGGAGCUGAGCCGGGCCAUGCGUUUCUUCCCACGCGAGUCUGAGCCUGGCUGCGGACGACGUCGGGGGCUUGGCCGCGGGGGAACCGGGUGUCGGGUUGCCCACUGAUCCUGAUCCCUGGGACGCUUGGCUGCCGGACAAACACUAUCGUGGAGAGAGCGCUCCUGAGGCCUGGCCCUGCGACCGGGUCGGGUGCACACUUCCGUGCCUCCUACUGGCUCGUGACCUUGGGAAGGUCCAGCUGCUCCGCUAGAGCUCCUAUCCUGCGCCAUAAAAUUAAGAAAUCGAGCUGGAGAGUCCCAAGCAGCUCUGAAUGCACUUCCUUUCCAGACUUUACCCUUCCUCUUUCUAGAAUAAUUUUUUAAAAAUCUUUUUCACAAAGUAUAGAUUUUGAAUUUCGUGGGAGAACCACCUCCGCUCCUAAAAUAUAAACACUCCCCGGAGUUCCUAGGGGAAACUUGAGGGGGCCACUGAUGCAAAGACCAUACAGAAAGUUGCUGGAGACUGGCAGUGCUCAGAACUUUGAACUUUGAACUCUCGUACUGAUCUGUUGGUAACCUGCUUCAAACCCGAGCAACACAAACGCUUCCGGUGAGCGAGGACUUUGGCUUGUUUACCCUGUGUCCCUUAGAUGCCCCUGGCCGCCCGGGUCCUUGGUCCCUGGAAUGGGUGCCAGGGACAGGCCACCCAGCUGGCUGGCAAUUAAUAGAAGUUUGCUGGCAGUUGAAUAAGAAUUUGAAUAGCUGAACAGACCUAGAGAGCAAGAGAUCUGAAAGGGUUUGGGUGAUGGUGGAGACAGACAGAAGGAUGGAACUCUUAACUCCAAAAUUCAAAUUUUUUCCACACUGGGCUGAUUAUUUCUGAUCUGACGGCCCCAGCCAGUUGCUUCAGUUCUCUAGGCCCUUCUCUCCCUCCCUCCCUAUCGCUUUCUCCCCCUCUGUCCAUACUGGGGAUUGAACCCAGUGCUUUCACCCUUGUUUUUUUUGAGUGGGUCCCAAUAAAUUGCCCAGGCAGGACUUUUUAACUUUCGGAUGUGACACCGCACUUUUUCUUUAUAUGCCAAAUGGAUAAAGGGCAGAUCAACCCUAUAGUAUUUCUAUGAACCAGUGCGUGGGAACUCACAAUUGCAAGCCUGCAACAAAUAAUUUUCGUAAUUUUACUAAAACUGUGAUGGGUACACAAGAUGGGUUCCCACUGUGGGAAUCAUAAAUGGAGUACAGAAAACCCAUGUGUUGAAUUAUUGUUUGUGGGACUUCUGGAGUGGUUAAAGGACAGCUAUCUUUAGGAGAAAGUAACCUAAAAACUUUUAGAAAGUAAUUUUAAUGGGCAUUCUAAGGAAGCUGAUUUAAACAAGUUAAGCUUUUUUUUUUUUAAAGAACCACUAGUUUGGACAUCCAUGAGUUUGCUCUAUUAAGAGUUAAAUUUGAGGGGCUGGGGAUUUAGCUCAGCGGCAUAAGCACCUGCCUUGCAAGCAGGCAGUCGUGAGUUCGAUCCCUGGUACCAAUAAAAAGGAAAAAGACAAAAAAAAAAAAAAAAAAAAAAGAGUUAAAUUUGAAGGGGCUGGAGAUUUAUCUCAGCGGCAUAAGCACCUGCCUUGCAAGCAGGCAGUUGUGAGUUCGAUUCCUGGUACUGAUAAAAAGGAAAAAAACAAAAAAAAAAAUUAAAUUUGAUGCUGGGCAUGGUGACUCACACCUGUAAUCCCAGCACUCAGGAGGCUGAGGCAGGAGGAUUGUUGCAAGUUCCAGACUGGCCUGGGCUACAAAGUGAGCUCAAGGCCAGCCUGAACUGCAUAGCAAGACCUCCUAUCAGAAAGACCAAAAAAAAAAAAAAAAAAAAAAAAAAAAUAGGGGCUGGGGAUUUAGCUCAGUGGCAUAAGCACCUGCCUUGCAAGCAGGCAGUUGUGAGUUCGAUCCCUGGUACCGAUAAAAAUGAAAAAGACAAAAAAAAAAAAAAAAAAAACAGAAAGAAAGAAAAGGAAAAAAAAUUUAAAAAGUUAAAUUUGAAUUUUUGUGGUCGGUGUGACACUUUUGAGAGGAGAGAAAACUAUUCGCAAGGGAAUGGUGGAAGAUUUAUAACAGGAAUGGAAAGUUACUUGUUUGUGAUAAAGGUAGGAUGCAGAAGUGGUAAGGUUUAGAUUGUUAAAGUAUGGGAGCGGCUUGCAGAGCUGGCAGGUUGGGAGUCAGCAUUUAGCUGGGCACCUGUGUCUGCUCUUGUCCUGCCACUCCUCUGAGAAGCAGAGGGUGAAUGGUGUGUCACAGACACUGCAGGAGGAUUCCAGACAUGUUCCCUCUUGUGCCUCACUGCAGGCUGUACCACGUUCUGGAGCGGGGCCCUGUGUUUCCUUCUCAUCCUCCACCUGUCCUCAGAACCUCAGCAGUCCUCUACCUUUGUCUCCCAUCAGCGAUAUGAAAAUAACUCCACAACUUUCUCUCUCUUUUUUUUCCCCUUGUACCAGGGAAUCAAAUUCACGACCUUGCACUUGCCAGGCAAGGUGCUUAUGAAAUAUCAGGAGAAGUCAGGAGCUAAUUUCCAUAGUGUUUGUGAGUCCUGCAGAUCAACUCUGUAAGAAGAAUGUGCUACUAGCAGUUAAGACUAACAGUAUGAAGUGGUCUCUUAGUGCAUAUUCUUAGUACUUUUGUUUUCUUUUUCGAGACAGUGUCUCGCUGUGUAGCCCAGGCUGGCCUGGAACUCAGGUGUGCCACCUUGCUCAGCACAUGAUCAGUUUUCUUUUUUUUUAAUUUUUUUUUUUUUUUUUUUUUGUCUUUUUCGUUUUUAUCGGUACCAGGGAAGGAACUCACGACUGCCUGCUUGCAAGGCAGGCACUUAUGCUGCUGAGCUAAAUCCCCAGCCCCACAUGAUCAGUUUUCAAUACAGUGGCCCUCUGAAGAAGGCACUGGGUCUUGGAGCAGCAGUGACUUGCUGGGCUUGGGAAGCAGCCCUGGGGAGCCUCCUCCCGCCACUCACCCACCAUGUGGCCUUGGGCAAGUGACUUCUAAGUCCUGGCUGUUUUCCUCCUGGAAACACGGGCCUGUGCCUAGUUCCCAGGGUGGCAGUGAAGGUGACUUCUAAUAAGCAGUGUCAGGUCCUAUCCAGGAUAGCUGUGUGUGGGAUGGAGCAGACGGACAUCUACCCUUCACUUCAUUUAGGUUGUGCUAGGUCAGGAGUUGAAUUAUUCCAGGAGUGAGGCCAAAGCUGUAGGCCUGAGAGGUUACAGAGUCUAAAGUAGAGCCACAAGGCGAUGAAAAAUACCUGUUUUAGUAAAAUUGGACUGACUUUUAAAUGCUACUCUGGUUUAUUUUUCCCUUUGGAGCUUUGGGAAUUAAAUCCAGGUCUUCAUACAUGCUAGGCAAGUCCGUCCCCAGCCCUAAAUUCUAUGCUUUACUGUUCCAGAUACCUGGUAAUCAAUCCAAGGUUAAAAAACAUUUCAUAGGGGCUGGGGAUUUAGCUCAGCGGCAUAAGCACCUGCCUUGCAAGCAGGCAGUUGUGAGUUCGAUUCCUGGUACCGAUAAAAAGGAAAAAGACAAAAAUUUUUUUCAUUCAAAAGCCAGAUGUGCAAAAAAAAAUAAAAUAAAAUAAAAUCCAGGUAUGGUGGUGGAUACGUAUAAUCUUAGCAAUUGGGAGGCUGAGGCAGGAGGAUCACUGAAAGUUUCAGGCCAGUUUGGACUACAUAGUGAGUUCAAGGCCAGCCUGAACUACAUAGCUAGAGUCUGUGUUGAAAACAAACAAAAAACAUAAUUCAUCUGAGCAUAUGUAGAACAAGUGAUUUUCCUUAGUGUGGAAGGCUUUGACCAGGUGCUUACUAAGGAUUUCUGGCUAUGUAGUCAGCACCUGGCAGGACAGAUGAGUAGAAAACAGCCUGGGACAGAUAGGAGCAGAAUGAUCAAGGCUUCUUUGGUACCUAUGUCCUUUGCCAGGACUGAGCACAAAUGGGUGCUGUAAAUACUUGCUGUCUGGUUGGCUGGUUGGUGCUUAUGGGGAGGUUAACAAAACCUUGCAGAGCCAAGUCCCAUGCGUCUAGAGCAUUAUUAACAUUAAAUAACAUUCAGCCCUGGAAUAGCAACUCUGCAUUGUAUGGCAGAUGCGCUGGCACAGACCUUGGCACGGCCUCGCCAGCAGCUCUCCUUUCUGGCCCACAUAUACACUGUGGCCAUGGGGCCCUGGGCGCUAUGGUUUGUAACUUGGUCUCAGUGCGUUCCAGGGAAAUGGUGGGUGGAGGCUCUUUUAACAUUCUUGCCCAGCUCUUUAGUACUCUCCAGAGUACUGAUUUCCUGUUUGGCUUGCAUUUUGUGCACUCCCAGGUUUCAGGUUACAGAUGAGCUGCCCCAAGAGAGCCAUUGCAAGGAGAAGCCCUCCUCCUGAUCCAGCCUCUGCAGCAUUUCAAUGACCACCACCUGACUCAGCCUUAGUUUCUCCAGCUAAAACUGUCUUGGCAGUAAGGUAACCCGAGCCUGACCGCCUAACCCUAGUUUGAUUCUUGCUUGCUCUGUGACCUUAGUAAGUUAGGUAAUCUCUCUGUGCCUGAGUGUCAGAAGUAAAGGAGCCACAGGAGCUGGGGAUUUAGCUCAGCUGCAUAAGCACCUGCCUUGCAAGCAGGCAGUCGUGAAUUUGAUCCCUGGUAUGGAUAAAAAGGAAAAAGACAAAAAAAAAAAAAAAAAAAAGUAAAAGAGCCAGAGCCGGCAUGGUGGUAUAUGCUUAUUAUCUCUCAGCACUCUGGGAGACUGAGGCAAGAGGAUCAAAAGUUUGAGCCUUGCCUUGGCAACUUAGCAAGACUCCAUCUCAAAGACACUUUUUUUUUUUUUUUUUUUUUUGUCUUUUUGAGACAGGGUCUCACUAUGCAGUUCAGGCUGGUGUUGGACUCACUUUGUAGCUCAGGCUGAUCUCGAACUCACAAUGAAAGACACAUGUCUUGGGGCUGGGGAUUUAGCUCAGCGGCAUAAGCACCUGCCUUGCAAGCAGGCAGUUGUGAGUUCGAUCCCUGGUACCCAUAAAAAAAAAGGAAAAAGAUGAAAAAAAAGAAUGAAAGACACAUGUCUUUUAAAGACGAAACUGGCUGGGGAUGUAGCUCAGUGUGAAGACUUGGGGUUCCGUCCCUAGUCCUGAGAAAUAAGUCAUUUUGGGCAGACUGCUGAGGGCAGAGCCUGGUACACAGCCUGUUUUCAACAAAGGUUAGCUCUUCCUAUCAUUCCAGCCUGGGGUGUCCUGGGGAUACCUGAACCUCCCCAAAAUAGUUGGGCAGGGCCAUACUAGCCUCAUUUUCUUGCUGUCCUUUUGUGCACAGUGGCCUUUUACUCCUCAGAUACAGUGAGUCUUUUCCGCCUCAGGCUAGGGUUCCUUAGAGAACCAGCUACUCCUCAUCCUCCAGACCUCAGCCUGAGUCCCCUUGCAGAGGCAGGCCCUGACCCUGAGUGCUGACUAUCUGUCUCUCCUCUCUGGAUGGCAAAUGCAACUGAGCAAUAACAGCAUUGGUCUCAUGCCUUCCAUUUGCCAUGGAGAGUCUCCUCGGAAUCGGGAUCCUGGUCCUGGUCCGCUCUUUGUGAACCCUCAGCUGUCUUCCCAAGCCCCACUGCUUUGCCCAGAAGGCACCUGGCUUACAAAUGCCUAGAAGGGGACCUGUCUGCCCAGCUCUGAGUCAAGGCCUUGCUCAAACUUCAAAAUGUAUUGUGUUGCCCCACAUCUCCAAGAGGAGGCCCGAAUGGGUGGAGCAGCAGGAGGAGGGCUGGGGCGCUGCUGAGCACAGCCAGCCAAGGCUGCAGGGAUACAGGAAGGGGUGUGAAGGGUCACAGUCUAGUUCAGAAACACGGUCUUUCCUGAAGUUGGAGAAGAAAGAAGUGAGGGAUUCUGAGUAUCUGGCAGAGAAUCAGUCACUUCUUGAAAGAGGGUCCUUAGGGAAGGAGUGGGGACAAUGAUCAGAAUCAGGGAUACUGAGGAAAGGGGAAACUGAGUCAGGAAGGGGAAACUGAGUCCUUCAGGGUUUGGCACAUGAAUUUCUCUGCCCACAGGGAAAUUGGUUGAACCCAUACGUCAGACUAAAGGCCACCAGGAAGCUAAAGGAGUCUACUCCUCAAGGGACAGCAGGAGGCCAGAGAAGUUGUGACCAGAGGCUGACAGGAAGCCCAUGGGAUGUACGGCCAAGAGCUCCAGCUCUGGGGAGAUUUGGUCAAGGACUGUUACUGUUCCUCCCUCUCACCUCAGUGAGCAUGGCACCUGAGCUUCUAGGGUCAAAAUGAAGAUGCCAGGAGAGACUGGCAAAAAGUUCCUGAUCAUCCAUAAGGUUCCUAUAGGCCCUGACCCAACUCAGGCUGCUCCUUGAAGGCAGUGUCCUGAGUGGUGGCAUCAACACCUCACUGCCCCUCCUCACAGGGCUGAAGACCAAGCAGUAGACCUGUGUUCAAUGACAGGGGUCCAUGAAUGGCCUGAAUACUAGCCACUGCCUGGAAAGGUCGAUGAUGCUGGUACACAGAACCACAAUGAAAUGAAAUUUAGAGAAAACCAAAGAGCAGAACUGUGCCUUACUGUGCCACUUGGUCAUAUGCAGCGCUGACAAUGGUGCCUACAAUCCCAAAAUGUCAGGGCCAGAGGGAUCUCUGCCGAUACCCAGUUCCAGGCGAUUCUCAAUCAUUUUUCUGCCUUUCGGAGGGCCCUCGGAACACAUGCUGAACAUCUCUGGGCUGUAUGUGUAUUCAGCAACUUGCAAGGUUGCCAUGGAGAACAGAUGCACUGUCUGCACAGUGGCUGGUGCCAACAAGGUGCCCAAUAAUGAAAGUCGGCUGCUUCAGCCCCUCAUCUUCUCACUCAUCAGGUACCCCAGUGACUUCUGUACACCUGGCCCAAAUACCAGUCUCUGGGCAAUUCACAGGCCCUGGACCUGUGCUCUCUGGCGGCUCCACCCUUGGGCAGGGUGGGUGUAGCUGGGAUCACAUUGUAAAUGCAUGGGUAUGACCUCUUGCCUUCUUGGAGAGGCUGCACUCACAAAGGGCACAGAACCCAGGAUAGUGCAACAGAAGCAGGGGAGAGCAGAUGUCCUGGGCAGCCUGUGUCAUGCAGUGAGCAUGCAGGAUGCAGGAGAGUGGGCAAAGGGUACAAAGGACCCCCUGCAUAGAGCGCAGCUUGUCUCCGCCGAGGCGCCACCCGAACCAGGUCAGCUGGUCUCCAUAUCCUUGCAAGGACACAGGCCUGCCCCCCAGCUCUGGGAAUGCCUGCCUGCCACACAGCCAGUGCCAGCCAGCUCUGCCCUGUGAGCAUAGUGCAGCCCAGUCCCUUGGGCACAUGUGCCAGGUGGGGAGGAAUAGGAGUGACAGCUUGGGGACAGGGUCAAAGUGCACAACUGUUUUCUAGAACAAAGACUAAAAGAAGCAAGUUUCUUUCAUUUUAUUUUAAGAAGGACAAAAAUUGUUAUUAAAACAUCUACAUUAUUAUCAA